AGUCACUGACAUUAGAUUACCCCUGUAGUCCAGGGUGUAAACGCUGCAGACUUUGGUGUUGGAGGCCCUUUGGGGGCAUUCAGUGCCGGAGAGAAGUUGUUAAGUCUGCUACUUGGGAGUACGUCCGCAAGGAUGAACUUAAGGAAUUGGCGGGGGAGCACCGCAACGGGAGGAGCGUGCGGUUUAAUUGGAUUCAACACCGUAAACUCACCAGGGAAGACUGUUACAUGAAGGCCGAGAUGAAGACUCUGCUAGAUUUUCAG
rnacentral:rRNA from 1 species